GAAACUAACAAGGAUUCCCCUAGUAACGGCGAGCGAAGCGGGAAGAGCUCAAAUUUGAAAGCUGGCGUCUUCGGCGUCCGCGUUGUAAUCUUGAGACGUGUUUUCCGUGCGGCUCUAUGGACAAGUCCCUUGGAACAGGGCAUCGUAGAGGGUGAAAAUCCCGUACUUGCCAUGGAAGUACCGUGCUUUGUGAUACACGCUCCAAGAGUCGAGUAGUUUGGGAUUGCUGCUCAAAGUGGGUGGUAGACUCCAUCUAAAGCUAAAUAUCGGGGAGAGACCGAUAGCGAACAAGUACCGUGAGGGAAAGAUGAAAAGCACUUUGGAAAGAGAGUUAAAAGUACGUGAAAUUGUCGAAAGGGAAGCACUUGAAGUCAGCCAUGCUGCUUGAGACUCAGCCUGGCUUUUGCUUGGUGUAUUUCUCGGUAGCAAGCCAGCAUUGGUUUGUGUCGUCGGAGAAGCGUAUGGGGAAUGUGGCAUCCUCGGAUGUGUUAUAGCCCAGUGCAGGAUACGACGACGUAGACCAAGGAACGCAGUGUGCCCUCUGGGCGGGUCUUCGGACACCUUCACACUUAGGAUGCUGACGUAAUGGCUUUAAACGAC
rnacentral:rRNA from 1 species